GGCGAACGGGUGAGUAACACGUGGGUGAUCUGCCCUGCACUCUGGGAUAAGCCUGGGAAACUGGGUCUAAUACCGGAUAUGACCAACUGUCGCAUGGUGGUUGGUGGAAAGCUUUUGCGGUGUGGGAUGGGCCCGCGGCCUAUCAGCUUGUUGGUGGGGUAAUGGCCUACCAAGGCGACGACGGGUAGCCGGCCUGAGAGGGUGACCGGCCACAUUGGGACUGAGAUACGGCCCAG
rnacentral:rRNA from 1 species